GGUCAGGGUUGGGUUUAAAGUCUUAUUUUAAGAAKAAUUGUAGAAGUUGGCGGGGGUUAGCCAAUUAUGUUUUUGUGGUUGUGGUAACUAGUGACGACCAUCAACAUGUGUGGAAAUAACAACAACAACACGGCGAGCCGGGGGCUCACCUACGAUGGUUGUAAUCUUUUCAGACAAACACCACCAGUGUUAUCAACGCUAAAUUGCAAAAGCAAAACAUACGAUCUAAAGAGGAUAACCCAGGACCCAGAGUAUCUUUGAUGGGGGGCCAGGAGCUGAUCUAUGCUGCUAUUCCCAUCAAUAGGGCUCUGAUAAAGACCUCACCUCCAGCCUCACCUCUUGCCUGCUCACCAAUGGUCGUCGAUGACAACAGAAUUAGAAACAUGUAUGGAGCCAGCACAUGGAGACAGACGGGCUUGAUACUGAUGUCUCUUAAUGGAGAGAGACCUGGCACUCGACAUUAAAAUUUUACUAGACAA